rnacentral:lncRNA from 1 species
GUUCUGGCAACACAUUUCGAACGGACCCCUCUAAAAAGCAACACGUUUUCUUUGUCUUCCGAUUUUUUUUAUUGAAUAAUUCCUCUUGAACAGCAGCAUUACGGGAAACAGCUCUUCAAUUUGAGAUUUCCUUAUCUUUAACUAUUAUACGAAAUGAAGAGUUUUCUUAGCAAGUUCGAAUCCGCUCUGCAAUUGCUUCACUCCAAAACAAUCAGCAUACAAAUCUUUUGAAUCCAUUUAAGCCUUCAAUUCCUUUUAUUUUUAAUUUUCGACUCAGAAAACUGACCCAUCAUUUUUAAGUUUCCGAUGCCGGAACAUAUUCUCAGACCCAAAAGACUUUCUCCUUUGGCAGGUA